ensembl:lincRNA
CGGCAAGGGCGCCCGCCUGAGCCCCCGUUGCGUUACAAUACAAUACUAUUUUUUAAUGUAAAAUCAAACAACGCUCACAUUAUGUGCCCAUGGAAUAUUUGCUUCAGUUAGAACCAGAUCAUUCUCACGACCAUUUUUUGGGGGUCGAAAAUCGUGUUUAAUUUUGAUUCUCUUUAGCUUACUUUCAGUACCAUUCUGUUGUAAAGAUUUCCAAGAGAUUUCACUUUCCCUAAACGGGACGCAGGUCAUUUCUCUGAAGCAAGAAGCUCUGAAAACACUCGGAAAGUGUUUUGCAAUAUUUGCGUUGGAACAGAAUUUGCUAGAAGUCGCUGUAUCCCUGUGUGUCCCGCCUGUACCUUGGACGGCGGUGGAAAAAAAAAAAAGUACAGCGUGUGGACCGUGUGCCUCCUGGUAAAUCAUUAAUCUUCCCCACAAGGAUUGUUUCCGUUGUUAAAAUACCCGCUUUUCAAAGCGAGACACAUUUUAACCCCCAAAAACACCCAAACAAACCGAUUACGGGGGAUUGUAAUCUUACAGCCGCCCGCUUCCUCUCGGGCUGAAACAAACCCUCCGCCCUGACCGAUAAGGAGACCGAUGUGGGCGGAGCGGAGCAGAAGCACAGCCCGGUGAUCGGCGCUCCUCGCCGGCCGCGAUUGUCACCGGCGACGGGCCGUUUCCUGGCGUGAAACACUGUGCACGGCGCGGCGUGAACAACAAGACGGGUUCUGAUGUCGGGACAGCGGAGUCGCGGUGUGCGGGCCGAGUGCGUGUACGGACACAGAGCAAUCUGAAGCAGCAAUCCCUUCAUGGACGCUUGUAACCAACAUAAUGAUAUUGUUCUCCGUUCUAAUGAGUAAACAGAGCUGGCCAGGGCAGCCAAGUCGGCUCACGGGCCGUUCAGAGCACGUCUUGCUAAUCCUACCACUGAGCUCAUCCCCCGCCCUGCCAGAGGCGUCAGAGCUGACAGAAGAGCGCCGCCUACUGGCCCAGCGACAAGCAAGGCCUCCUGGGACCCGGGACCGUGCGUCUCCCGCUGCGCCGCAGGCAGACUGCGCCCUUUUCCUCAAACAUGUCCGGACUGCAAAGCAUCAGGGCCCGGCGUGUUCGGGCAACGCCCCCGACAGCAGGCCCUGCUCCCAGGCGGGAGAGAGCCUGCGGAAUACGGGGGCUUUUAGUGAAACUGCAGGAAGGCCAAUUCCCAGAAGUGAGUCACGAUUCCCAAAGAUUCCGCCUUCUUUAAAGGAAGUUUCUGGAAUUCUGAAGUGUUAUGGGGCUUCCUCAUUGCAAGGAAGCUGGAUAUCCAGGAGGAAUAUCGCCAAUAUCUUUCAAGGACUGUAAAGGCACAGAGUCACCUUGGGUGUAGUUUGUUUUUGCUGAUUUUUUUGUUAGGUAGACUGUUGCACGUCAUCUCACAACUGCUUUUACUGCCUCAGACAGUGUUAAAUGUACUUAUUUUGUGAAGAAUAAUCAUGGACUGUAGAUUCAUGUUUUAACUAUAAUUGCUACCCUCGUGAAAAAAUAAAUUAAUUAACUGAAAUUAUUUGCUUGUGGAUAACGGCAGGCAUCAUUUCCUUUAAUUUGUUAGAAUCCAGUGAGAUCAGUACAUCCAAGCCUAUGUUACUAUACUGCUACCUCAGAUGCCUUUAUUCUUUCCUGUUACUCUCAAAACACCGUUAUUCAGAGAGAAAAGCACAUGGCCUUCCCCGGAGUUAAUGGAGUGAGUAGAGAGAGGCUGCUGCUCUUCAUGAAUGAUUCCUGCUCUGAGAACAAUAAAGAACCCACAGUCCCCCCCCUGCCCUGGCCUCUGGGGAGAUCCCAGUCUGGUCAAGUAAAGUUCGCAACUCUUCAGAUUUUAGUGGUUGUGCAUAUCUCAUCCCCUGCCGCGCACCGAGGCAACAGAGUUCCUUGCUCUCUUGGCCUGUUUUGGGAAGCGAGUAUAAAGGAAUUCAGGAGGCCCCGUCGGUCUCUGUCUCUCCCUCGGCGUGUCCUGGCCUGACGACAGCUGGGGGAACAAAGCCGCUCGUCCAGUUUAUGGCCGUGGCCACAGGACCACUCAGAGUAAAGAGAGCGGGCUCCUGGACCAAGCCUUCCGGAGACCCCAGCGCUUUGGCCUCGAGUCUGCCUGCUGCUCUGUGCUGUUCUGCGUGGAGCCUGAAGAGCCUGCAGAGGGCCACCGCAGAGGACCAACCAGAGGUCAAUUCCCCAGUUGUGGAUCAACUGACUAUUUGGUCCAAAACAUUUUUAAUGGGGAUCACCUGCAGGGCGACAGCUGCCAUAAAGAGUUUGGCAUCCGAACGGAAAAGCGUUAAUUCCAUGGAUUUCAACCCCCCCGUCAGCCACGCGGGGCGGCGCUGGUGACGUCGCUCCCUGCCUUUCCAGCGCCCUCGCCCUCCCAGAGCCCCGCCGGCCUCGCCCCCGCUCCCAGGACGGGCUCGCCCCGCCUUCACGCCUCUGCUGUCCGCGGCGCUCCUGACAAUCCCGGAGUGCUCUCCAGCCGUCCGGACGUGCGCGUCGAGCCGAGACUCUUCUCACCCCUCACUCCCAUGAAAGACACCGGUCCAGGCCCCCAGAGCACCCCCCCUCCUGCUGCUGCCAGCCGGAUUCUAAUCAAUUAACCAAUCAGGACAGCUCCCUCAUUGCCGCGCCCUCGACCCCCGGAGAUAUUCGAGGCCUCUCAGCUCCCAGAUUAUUGCUCGGUAUUGGAACGCCUGACCUCACCUGUGCUGCUCUUCCCCCACCUUAACCGUCCCCUUGGCCUCGAAGCCGGAGCUCGUCCUCGACCGUGAUGUCGUCUGACGCUUUGCCGACAUCUUUCCCUUCCUCCUCUCCUGAUCUCCCUCCAGACCUCCGCGCAGGGUCCGCCUCCUGUUGCACAGCGUGUCGGAGCAGCCCCGGGACAGGCAGAGGGAGUUGUCUCGGGGGUGUGCUGGCUUGUGGUGCUACAGGCCGGAUUGCAGUUGGCCAUCUGUGAUGUAGAGGACGGAAUACAUUUGCCCAUUAUAUCUUUUUCAAAUAAACUAAAAGGUGUUUCAUUCUUAGUGGUCCUAAACAGCCGUUUGCAUCAAAACACUAUUGCAAAUGUUAGAACUACAAAUUAUGCAAAAUAAUUUUAAUCUGUGCGCCUUUGCACAUAUGUUCAGGAACUCAGCGAAAGCACUGCUGAGUGAUGAGCUCUUCUCAAACACGGAUUCAUCUUUAAACUGUCAAACAGUCUCGGUAUCAGCAUAUUCCGGGCCCUCAGGAUCUCGCACUGGAAUUCGCACUGGGUCCUUGCUUGUUUGUGAAAAAAGGUUGUUGUUUUUUUCUGCACAGUAGUCUUCGAACGAGGCUUAAUUAACUCUGCAUUCUAAAGGAAAAACACCAUGUUUUACUUCAGUAGCUACGCUGUAAUGAGAUCCGGUAAACAGAAAACAAUGAGACAAUUAGAAGGCAAAUUCUGCAAGAGGUUCUUGUUAUAAUACAUAAGACAACAGAUCAGAAGCUAACACAAAGUCCCAGGGUGGUGCAGCAGUUCUGCUUGCAUUCUGGUGUUGAUAUCCUUAACACUAGCAUUUCACUGACGAAUAAGUGGUGUCACAGACCUUCAGAAUGACUGGGAUAUUGUCCUAGAACUCAAUGGGAAUGAUAAUACCCUAACACACACUUAACCCCACCCCCCUUCGUCCACACAAGGCAAACCUUUCAAGCUAAUUAAUAUUUCAUUGCUCGCUCCCCGGUCUGUGAGCGAAGCUCCCCAGAGCAGCUGUGCGGUGAUCGGCGAGGAUAUAUAAUGUCACCCCGAGGGCCCGGCCGUCUCCCCGAAGUGUCUGAGGCGGAGCUCCGAUAGGAGGGACACGUGUUCGUGCGGCAAUGAAGUCAUCGCGCCUGAAAUUAGUUGUGUGCCUCCACAAUUAUUUAAUGUGCACAUAUACACACACACACACACCUGUGCGCACUAUAUACGACAGAACAUUUCCAGCAGAAGUCGUUGAAAUUUCUGAAUAGUACGGAAGGGAGCGGGACAAGUCCAGACUUCUGAAGGUCCUGAACCUAUUUUUUUUUUUUCCAGUGCUGGUUAUCUAACCGCUCCGACGAGAAAGCGGACCAAAAUAAAAUACUGUAAAAGGAAACCCGUGGACCUGUGAACGCUUGAGUGUCUAUCUUUUGCGCCUGAGAAAAGUCAGCAGUGGUUAAGGAAGGCGCGUGUUUGCUUCGCUGUGGAAGUGUCGCUGCAGUGCUCUGUUAUAAUAAAGACGCACUGAAGUGUGUUUUCUCAUCAGCUCGUUGCUUUCGUGUUUUUUAACCACGGUUUCUUUUUGAUUCAUCACGCACACUUCCCACGGUGUUCUUCCGAUAUGUCAUGUCCACGGUGGAAGACGCAGCUUUUAGCGUGCUGUCGUUCUGUACUGGCCUUAAAGUGUCGGCAAGGUCUACUCGUACUAGUUAGUGUGUGUUUUCGUUUCCACGGCUCUGUUUUCUUUAGUGGUGUUUUUUAUGUUCACGUCGGUUUGUUUAGACAUUCCUGCCCGGCCCAGGCCCUUCCUCCUCUGCGCUUGCUUCUCGAGUGAGGUGGAGGGAGAG